AGAGUUUGAUCAUGGCUCAGGAUGAACGCUAGCGGCAGGCUUAACACAUGCAAGUCGAGGGGUAUCACGCUUUCGGGCGUGAGAGACCGGCGCACGGGUGCGUAACGCGUAUAGAACCUACCUUUUACAGAGGGAUAGCCCAGAGAAAUUUGGAUUAAUACCUCAUAAUAAGUUUUACUGGCAUCGGUAGAACUUUAAAGCUCCGGCGGUAAGAGAUGGGCAUGCGUGCCAUUAGCUAGUUGGUAAGGUAACGGCUUACCAAGGCUACGAUGUCUAGGGGGUUCUGAGAGGAUGAUCCCCCACACUGGUACUGAGACACGGACCAGACUCCUACGGGAGGCAGCAGUGAGGAGUAUUGGACAAUGGGCGCAAGCCUGAUCCAGCCAUGCCGCGUGCAGGAAGACGGCCCUAUGGGUUGUAAACUGCUUUUUAUACAGGAAGAACACUCCCUCGUGAGGGAACUUGACGGUACUGUAUGAAUAAGCACCGGCUAACUCCGUGCCAGCAGCCGCGGU
rnacentral:rRNA from 1 species